UUGCUUUGGCAACACAAGUAGUAAAAUUGUAAUGAUACAGGGAAGAUUAGCGUAGCCCUGCACAAAGGUGACAUGCAGAUUCAUGAAACAUUCCAUAUUUUA
ensembl:snRNA U6 U6 spliceosomal RNA